CCUUACAUCAUAUGUUUGUAUCAUUUUCACGUACCGCCUUACUAGUGUACAGGCGUAAUAACGGGUGUUGCUCCUCGACGGGAAGCAUAAUUCAUUUAAACACCUAACUUCGGAGCGCCCAGCCGUCGGAGCUCCUUAUUUGACGUGUAUUAAGAUUGAGCUGUGUUUAUAACACUACAACAAUUAACCCACAACAAACACCCUUUAACAGGGUAAAACACUACGACACAACAGUUUGCGACACAUAAACAAUGUGUAACACAAAUAAUUGUACAUGUACAAAAUGACGCAGGAGAAACGACAAGCGACCAACACGGCUUGUUAGAGGAGCUGUGUGCUGUUUGGGGGGGGUAAGUUCAUGUUUGAUCAGAAAACUAUUAAUUGUAAAGUUGGUCGAGUCGGUGGUUUUGCCUCUGGUGGCAACGCUAGUAUCCACAACAGCCAACAAGCUUAUAGGCUAACAGGCUAACUCGCUGGCUAGUUGCGAGCGAGUUGGCCACCAAGCGGAGAACAACAAGCCCUGAACAGCUGUUCAGGUGGCCGGUCUUAAAAUACCGUGAUGUUAAUUUGUGGCCGUACCGCUCAGCCCUAGUUGUUUCCAACAGUAAAAGGCACCGCUUUUAUUCAUUUUUUUUGGAACCUGGAAAAAGUGCCGCGCAUGUCCGGGUCAAGUGUCUGAUUGCGUUUGCAAAACCGUCAGUCUAUUCCUGAUAUGUCAAAUUAAGCAUUUGAAUUCUUGAGCACAUUUUAGAUAUAUAAAUUAACUGGCUUUUGUAUGUUACCAAAUGAAAAUGUUAAAACAACAGAGAAACGUUGCAGCAUAACAUCAUAGUGAAUGCGUAAAGAUUAACUCUGUUUGUGCCUUUUUGAGAGACUCUGCUGUCAGAAUAAACACUCCGUUCUCCAUUGCGGAGUCUUCACGUGUUAAAGACUAAGAUUACCUCUGGGCUUUUAAAAUAGACAAUUUAUUGCACGUAGGAAACCUCUUCUGUCGUGGCGGUUACGCAACAGGAGGGGUUUGAUUUAUUAUUAUCGGUAUUUUGGAGUACUGAAUUGAACUGUUGAAGAAAAGUGAAAUGUCCAUGUUUCCAUCUUAAAUGAAUAUUUGUUUUGUUAGAAGGAUUGUGGACAUGUAAGUCGGGUCUUUGUCUCCAGCGUACGGGUGGUUUCAAAGUCAACAAAUAAGGAGAUAUGUCUAAUAAUUCAGAUAAGCUCCUCUGCUCAUAAGCAUUACAUCCAGCAAUGCGUAUAUAUACAUUUCUCCUUUUUUCUUUGCAAAAUAUUUGCAGCUUCACUCAGUUACCGUGUACUGUGCAGUAUAACGUAUUCAAAUAAAGUGGGAAUUUCCAAAGCCUUUAAUUAUUGUGGUAUGUGUAGAGGGAAGUAUUAAUGUGAUCCUUUCUUUUUUCACUAUUGAGCUCUAUUAUACAGAAUGUCUGGGUCUGGCAGUCUUCAAUAAUUAUAAUAUAUGAUGUUCAGUUUUUCCCUUGUAAUUACAAAAACAACCUUGAACUUAUCGGCGGUUGGGACACACAAAUAUGAAACGGUUGGAAUAGAAUGAAUCGACUUCUUAAAUAAAUUAAAUGUGUAUAUGGGAUGCGAACACGAAAUCUCAUGUGUCUGUUUUAAUAGGCAGUAAAUAAAAGUCGUGACCACUUUAAUGGUUUGAUAAAACGAUCCGGCUGGACUGUCUGCAUCUCGCCCUGCUUAGCAGUCAUGCUAGACUGCACACCUCUCUGUGAAGAGAAAGGUUGCCCACAUGUCUACAGGUCGAGAGUGUGUGACUAUUGGCUGCUGGUGGGACUUAAAGGCCUGAUUGGGAGGAUGUGACCGAGUGGGAGACAAGAUGCCACCAGUUCAGCGAGCGGCACCCAUUGGAAGUCCACCUGCUUUUCCUGGCCCCAUCCUGCUGUCGCCGACGUCUAUGCCUCCAAGAGGAGCUGCUUUCAUCUCCACCGAGUUUGACCCGACCAAGUUGGCACCGAGUAGUGUAAAACACCCGGAGGACUCCAUCCAGGACUCUAUAGGAGACACAGGCAUGCCUUUGGAUAUGUGCGCCGACCACCAGCUGGGUUCUCCCACAGCACCGGUGAUGACCCUGCCGGGCACGGGAGUCAUGCAGGGUUCCAGACUGGGCAUGCCCCCUCUGCAGCCUCCCCCCAACAUGCCGAAUCCUCAUCUACCUCCUUUCCUCUCGCCUCCAAACAUGUCGCACAAUCACCCGCAAAUGAUGCCCGGACGGCCCGUGUUUUCUCCGGAGAGGUUCAGGAUGCCCAUGCCCUUUCCGCCUCGCGGCCCUCCUUUCCAUCGGCAUCUCUCCAUGGGACCAGACGGCAUGCACGACAGGGAAGGGAUGCAUUUCAGAAACGGGAGAGCAGGGUUUGGGUGCCCGCCCUUCCAGAGAGGGAGGUGGUAGAAGCAGGCAGAAUGACAGACCUGAGGGGAGAGGCGUCGGGAUCACUGUGACGGAUCAGUAUCACGACAUCUGGUUCAACAAGGAACUGCUGUAAAUAAUUGAGGGUGCUUAGACUUCUUUUAGUACCGCACCCUUUUCUUACCGUCACAUGAACAAUCACACAGACAGUGUUCUGAAUGUGAUCCACGCACCUCCAAGUUCACCAGAGGAGAGACCUUUUGUUGUAAAUACUGUACAUGCUCGUAGCUGUUUGCUAUCUUUUUGUAUAUUUGAAGUGUGUAGUUCAUGCUGAAGUCUAAUCUUAGUAGUUGGAGGGGAAAAAACAAAGGCAACGUCUGUAUUUUUGAGCGUAUUCCCUUUACCAUAGUUUUUGUCUAAGGAAGGAGACUGAAAAUCUAUAAUUCAAUCACCGUUUUGGUAUUUAGUUUUUAGCGAAAUGGCUUUUGUAACACACUAAUGUUUAAUUCCUGAGUUAAGAAGUUUGAUUUCAUUUGAAGUGGAAGAUUCAUGUCCUGCCAGCAGAGGGUAGUGUAAACCCUGUUACCGCGGCCAACCCCUGUUGUACAUUAAGGUCACACCUUGUAACUCGCAUUGAAAAUUAAAAAAAGGUUUCAAUUUGA
ensembl:lncRNA